rnacentral:rRNA from 1 species
UGCAAGUCGAGCGGAAACGAUCCCAGCUUGCUGGGAGGCGUCGAGCGGCGGACGGGUGAGUAAUGCAUAGGAAUCUGCCCGGUAGUGGGGGAUAACUUGAGGAAACUCAAGCUAAUACCGCAUACGCCCUACGGGGGAAAGCAGGGGCUCUUCGGACCUUGCGCUAUCGGAUGAGCUUAUGUCGGAUUAGCUAGUUGGUGAGGUAACGGCUUACCAAGGCGACGAUCCGUAGCUGGUCUGAGAGGAUGAUCAGCCACAUCGGGACUGAGACACGGCCCGAACUCCUACGGGAGGCAGCAGUGGGGAAUAUUGGACAAUGGGCGAAAGCCUGAUCCAGCCAUGCCGCGUGUGUGAAGAAGGCCCUCGGGUUGUAAAGCACUUUCAGUGAGGAAGAAGGCUUGUCGGUUAAUACCCGGCAGGAAAGACAUCACUCACAGAAGAAGCCCCGGCUAACUCCGUGCCAGCAGCCGCGGUAAUACGGAGGGGGCAAGCGUUAAUCGGAAUUACUGGGCGUAAAGCGUGCGUAGGCGGCUUGGUAAGCCGGUUGUGAAAGCCCCGGGCUCAACCUGGGAAUGGCAUCCGGAACUGUCAGGCUAGAGUGCAGGAGAGGAAGGUAGAAUUCCCGGUGUAGCGGUGAAAUGCGUAGAGAUCGGGAGGAAUACCAGUGGCGAAGGCGGCCUUCUGGACUGACACUGACGCUGAGGUACGAAAGCGUGGGUAGCAAACAGGAUUAGAUACCCUGGUAGUCCACGCCGUAAACGAUGUCGACUAGCCGUUGGGGUCCUUGAGACCUUUGUGGCGCAGUUAACGCACUAAGUCGACCGCCUGGGGAGUACGGCCGCAAGGUUAAAACUCAAAUGAAUUGACGGGGGCCCCACAAGCGGUGGAGCAUGUGGUUUAAUUCGAUGCAACGCGAAGAACCUUACCUACCCUUGACAUCGUGCGAA